GACGAACGCUGGCGGCGUGCCUAAUACAUGCAAGUAGAACGCUGAAGGAGGAGCUUGCUCUUCUGGAUGAGUUGCGAACGGGUGAGUAACGCGUAGGUAACCUGCCUGGUAGCGGGGGAUAACUAUUGGAAACGAUAGCUAAUACCGCAUAACAGUAGAUGUUGCAUGACAUUUACUUAAAAGUUGCAAUUGCAUCACUACCAGAUGGACCUGCGUUGUAUUAGCUAGUUGGUGGGGUAACGGCUCACCAAGGCGACGAUACAUAGCCGACCUGAGAGGGUGAUCGGCCACACUGGGACUGAGACACGGCCCAGACUCCUACGGGAGGCAGCAGUAGGGAAUCUUCGGCAAUGGACGGAAGUCUGACCGAGCAACGCCGCGUGAGUGAAGAAGGGUUUCGGAUCGUAAAGCUCUGUUGUAAGAGAAGAACGAGUGUGAGAGUGGAAAGUUCACACUGUGACGGUAUCUUACCAGAAAGGGACGGCUAACUACGUG
rnacentral:rRNA from 1 species